UACGUAGGGUGCAAGCGUUGUCCGGAAUUAUUGGGCGUAAAGAGCUCGUAGGUGGCCUGUCGCGUCGGCUGUGAAAACUCGGGGCUCAACUCCGGGCCUGCAGUCGAUACGGGCAGACUGGAGUUCGGCAGGGGAGACUGGAAUUCCUGGUGUAGCGGUGAAAUGCGCAGAUAUCAGGAGGAACACCGGUGGCGAAGGCGGUUCUCUGGGCCUUACCUGACACUGAGGAGCGAAAGCGUGGGAGCGAACAGG
rnacentral:rRNA from 1 species